rnacentral:lncRNA from 1 species
UUCAUCGGCUGAAAGAUCGCCUUUUAUUUUAUGUCUUGCAUCGGCUAAAAGAUCGCCACCUUUUAUUUUUAUGUCUUGCAUCGGCUGAAAGAUCACAACCUUUUGCAUCUCAUGGACUGAAAGAUUGCCAAACUAUCGGAGGCACCAUUUUCAUAGCCCCAGAACGCCAUGUCAUAGCCUGAGGAUCCCUUUAUUCAUCUUUCGCAUAUCAUUAUUCAAAAGCAUCAUAGUUAGGAGGCAUCAUUCUCAUAGCUCAAGAACAUCAUUUCAUAGCCUGCGAAUCCUUUAUUAAGUGCUUCAUGGCCCAGGACGUCAUGGUCUGAGGACGUCAUCCUAACUUUCCAAAGACAACGUUUAUGGUCCGACGAAAACUUACAUCAUGUUUAAAUUUUCGCACAUUAUACACUUGUAUUGCUUAUUUGUAGGUAAACUGAUGAGAAAUGGAAGUCUCAGCAGGAGAGCUCCCACUCUAGUUCCCACAGCUCUGCUAGACUUUAACCAUUCAUCCCAACCCAAAUGUCUCCUUAGUUCUUGAAAAUCUCCAUCGGCAUAUUCCGCCGAUGGAUCCUGAACUACAUAUGGCCUGAUUCCUAUAAAACCAGGGAUAUGUAGGCAACUCAGGAACAAGAGCACAGUCAAAUUCUUCAAACAAUUUUGUUCGGUCAAAUUGGC